rnacentral:rRNA from 1 species
AUUGAACGCUGGCGGAAUGCUUUACACAUGCAAGUCGAACGGCAGCACGGACUUCGGUCUGGUGGCGAGUGGCGAACGGGUGAGUAAUGUAUCGGAACGUGCCCAGUCGUGGGGGAUAACGUAGUGAAAAUUACGCUAAUACCGCAUACGAGCUAUGGAUGAAAGCGGGGAUCGCAAGACCUCGCGCGAUUGGAGCGGCCGAUAUCAGAUUAGGUAGUUGGUGGGGUAAAGGCCCACCAAGCCAACGAUCUGUAGCUGGUCUGAGAGGACGACCAGCCACACUGGAACUGAGACACGGUCCAGACUCCUACGGGAGGCAGCAGUGGGGAAUUUUGGACAAUGGGCGAAAGCCUGAUCCAGCCAUUCCGCGUGCAGGAUGAAGGCCCUCGGGUUGUAAACUGCUUUUGUACAGAACGAAAAGGUUUCUACUAGUACUAGGAGCUCAUGACGGUACUGUAAGAAUAAGCACCGGCUAACUACGUGCCAGCCGCCGCGGUAA